rnacentral:lncRNA from 7 species
AAGCCCAGGCUUCUCCAGGCAGAGAUCACCUGUGUGAAAUGGAGCCUCCCUGAGCAGUGUGCUGUGCUUAGUUGCAGGCUUGGUUUCCCAUGUUCUUUCACAUUCUCCUUAGCAUUUACACAAAUGCGUGUUUCACUUGCUGCAGUUAGAAAACUCUGAAUCUUUUCUUCUGAAUGAGGGUUUACAAUGAUGAUUGUUUUCAGCUGCUGGCAGGCCCUGAGUGCAAUCUGUGAAGCCAGAAACUUGAAGCAAGAUAGAGAAGAGCAGAGGAUUUUUUCUCUCUCUGGACAGAAAAGCAUCAACAACACUUCUUAUAGCUUCAACAAGGCUGUACAACACAGAGAAUGUGCAUUCAAGGCAACACAGCUAAGGUCACACUGUGCUGGAGGCCAAGAACGAGCUCGUCAUUCACUCAAGAGGUCCAUGUCUCAUUUCUGGGCAAAUGACUGAAGUGCAACCCUAACAGGACACUUUACAUCAAAGGUUGCAAAGAUGACACCAUGGCACUCUGUGCUUCUGUGUUUGAGCAAAAAACCAUCUGUCUGGAGUCUCUGGGGGAUCACAACUCAACCACUUCAAGGAAGGGGUCUUCUAGUGACUUAACCUCGUGAUUCUACAGAGGGUCUAUAGAUAGAAGUGUAUGCUCUCUAGCUCAUGGCUGCAUCUGACCAGCUGUAGAAAAUCCAAUUGUACCGGAAGGCAAAGGGACCACAAGGGCGUAGGAAGAAGCUGUGAUACCAGCUGUGCAUUGAGUCAGUAAGCUUCCCCAGCAGCCUCCACUUGACUUGAAAUCUGCCAUGCCUUGAUGGACAUCUGAGAAGAGAGUGAGGUCCCAGAGAGGCUGCCUAUGAAUUCAGGCAGCAGUAUAUCAAGAUGAGAAAUGUAUAAACAGCAGAGAUGCUGGAGGUCUGCGUCCCCAGUCAAACAGGUACAAAGAAGACUAUGGAGUUAGAUAUAUGUAACAGCUCAUUUGCAGAGAAAUAUCCCCUACAAGACAGGAAGAUGCUGCUUCUAAUCACACAGCCGAAGUGCGACGUUGUGAGACUGAAAUGGACAACCGAACCAUAUGAUCAGCCUUCUUUUAUGAGAACACUAUGUCAGUCAGUCAGUUUAUGACCUGAAAUUACAUGGGAAGAGUCUGAUCCUGGCCCCGCUGAAUGCAAAGAGGAGAUGCAGCUUUGGAGCUCCUGCCAUCAUCACAUCCUCGACCUUUUGUGUGUCAUUAGCUUGAGACUGAAGUUGUCCUGUCCCUCCCGACCUCUCAGCGGGAGCUGAGCUGAGCAGCACCGCGGGCACCCAGCACCCAGGUCCUUCCUGUGUCAGAGGCCUCGGUGGGCUCAGCACGUUUGCAGUGGCAACCAAGGGUCCCUCAGCACCAACUAUGGAGGACAUUGCCAUCCCGGUGCCCUCUCUAAGGCCGCUGUAGCCCCAGCUAUGCAGACUCUGAUGCCUUCUCUCAGCACAGCCCCUGGGCUGCCAGAGCUGUGGUGGCUGUCACUGACCGAUGCCAUGGAUGUGCUGCCAUAUCUAACAGCAGCUGUCUUCUCAUCCCAGCUGGGAUAGAGAAGUGCCCUACAGAAGACAAGCACAGUGGAUGUCUACUUUAAAUGCCACCUUGUUUAAAGAUAAGAAAAAUGAAAAGAAAAAUUGCCACAGAACAAACUAUUCUUCCUGUCCAAAUAUAAAAUAAAAGCCAUCUUAUUU